rnacentral:rRNA from 2 species
CACGUGGGAACCUUCCUCGGGGUACGGAACAACUCAGGGAAACUUGAGCUAAUACCGUAUACGUCCGUGAGGAGAAAGAUUUAUCGCCCUGAGACGGGCCCGCGUCGGAUUAGCUAGUUGGUGGGGUAACGGCCUACCAAGGCGACGAUCCGUAGCUGAUCUUAGAGGAUGAUCAGCCACACUGGGACUGAGACACGGCCCAGACUCCUACGGGAGGCAGCAGUGGGGAAUCUUGGACAAUGGGGGCAACCCUGAUCCAGCCAUGCCGCGUGAGUGAAGAAGGUCUUCGGAUUGUAAAGC